CGGUAAAAUACUAAAAAGUACUGAAGAAUUUUAUACGCAUUUUACUUUUUAGUAUAUAAUUUCGUGUUUGGAUAACGAACAUUUUAGCCGCCAACAUCGUACGCAAACAAACAAACUUAGGCUUAAAUUAAAGCUAAAUAAAUUCUCUACAAUAUUUCCUUAUUCUUGAAAAGAGAAAAUGCACACAUUCUGCCAAAACAAUGCCAAGAUUUGUAUAAACCUGCCCGUGCCGAACAAAUUUCGGCGGCCAUCUUUCUUCUCUUCCACUUUGAAUACAGAAUAUUCCAUUUUUAUCAAACAAAAUAAAAAAAUAAUAAUUAUAAAACAUUUAAAAACAGUUAAUUUAUUUUUUAUUUAAAUCUUCGUCUGAAAUUUGUUGAAAUCUCUUCAUAAUGGCCGCCGCCAAAACAUCGAUCUCGAACCCACCUCCUAAACAUACGUCAGCAGGUGGGUUCGAGAUUAAACGCACCUCCUCGUAGCCAAUAGGAAAGCCGCUAAUACACUAGGUAUGAGAUAAUAAAGUAACUGCUAGAAGGAUGGGCCAUGAAAUUAUUUUCAUCAGUUUGGGUGGAUCAUCAAUUUGUUUUUUGUGCAAAUGGAUGGGCCAUAAAACACAUAUAGCCUGCUUGCACUCAAUACAUACUAUAACUACUACACAACAUUCCUAUUAAAAGAAUCAACAUUCAAUAUACUGCUACUCUGUACAUAUUCAUGUAUAGCAGGAUGGAUCGUGAAAUUUUUCCAAUGACCUACGGUGGGCUUUGAAAUUUUUUCUAGGUUCUCGGGAUGGGCCACCGGUUUGUUUUUUUUGAAAACCUAUUUUCCCCUCCGGCACACCCUAGCAGUUACUUUGUGACCGGUCCCUAAUAAACAAAUUUGGCUAACGUUGUUUACAUCGUUGCUACCAAAUUCUCAACUUCAGAUAAGUCACAUGCCUGGUUACUAUUGUUCUAGUAUACAGAAACAUAGAAUAGACCAAAGGUAACCUGCGAUCAGGCUCUAUUUUACAAAUAAUAUUUAUUUAUUUAUAGGCCUGAUCGCAGGUUAGACCAAAGGUAACUAAGCAUUAGAGUUAUGUAUAAGAGUUAUUCACUCAUGUAGAUUGUUCUAAAGCUUAGGGCCGCAAAAACGUUACGAAUGGACCUUUCCCCUUAUAACUAAAAUUUUGAUCUAGACAAAAAUUUUAUCACGGCUUGAAAGAGCAUCACAAAAUUAGUAAUAUUCCAAAGUUUCGUUGCGAAAUGUUGUAAAAUGCGGAUAAUAUAGCCUUGCGAAAUUUGCCGUUUUUCAGUCAUUUUGUAUUACGCACGGGAAAUCGACAGCCCAAUCGGGUGUUGGGGCAUCAAUUUCCCGUUUGUAAUACAAAUGACUGAUAAUUGCAAAUUUCGCAGGGCUAUAUUAUCCGCAUUUUACAACAUUUCGCAACGAAACUUCGGAAUAUUACUAAUUUUGUGAUGCUCUUUCAAGCUGUGAUGAAAUUUUUGUCUAGACUUGUCUAGAUCAAAAUUUUAGUUACAAGGGGAAAGGUCCAUACGCUAGAAUCGCUUACACAACAUUAGCCUGCGAGCAGGCCCUUCUGGCAGGCUAACAGAGCAUGCGCUUUCACAUGCGAUGAGCCCAGAAUCUAAGCCAGAAUUUUCGAGGUCGUACUUGACGCCUUCUGUUCAGGCGUUUCACGCUCCUAAUUCUGGCAACUGGCUUUGAAAGAAGUCUGACUAACAUCACUCGAUUUGUUACAUAAUCAGCCUGGUAAUUUAAAAUCACAAUAUUCAACUGAAUGUGAGCGAUGUUACUGGAAAUUAUACCAAUUAAUAUCGGGACAACAGUUUGCCUCCCAGGCGCCAUUUUUAAAAAUGACCAAGGCAACUGACGCACGAUCGUGUUUAACCUGGGGCGCUUUCCAUGGCCUGACCGGUCAGACCCGAAUUCUUUUCUCUGUAUCAAUGGAAAGAUCUGGUCUAUGUUUCUCAAAUAUCUAGGGAAAAUGGACCUCAUUCUAAUUCUGUCUAAAUUUUUUGGUCAGAUAUGUAAGAAGCCCAACCGUUUUGUGUUCCAUUCAACAAUUGACCCAAUCUUGUACACAGAGCAAUGCUUGUGCGCGGGCGAGGAAAGCAUUGGCUAUGCAGGGGAAAUAGACAACCGGUUGUUGUCGGCAUGCACUAUUGAUAAACGUUAAACCAAUCACGGCGCGGAAAAAUUCUAUUUCCGCAGAGCCAAUGCUUUCCUCGUCCGCGCACAGGCAUUGCUCUGGGUUCGAGAUUGCAAUUGACCGUUCUGACCGAUCUGGGAUGGAAAGCGCCCAAUGUUGACUCGAUUCUAUACUUUAAAAAAGAGUGGGUGGAUUUCAAAUUUCUUCGAUAUACGUCAUCGUUUUCAAACGUUCCGGUUACAGUGCGUCCGCACGUAUCCGGAUUCGUUGUGUUUUCCGCAAAAGUUUCCACUCAGCUGGAGAGUGUUUUCAAAAGUUUGCGGUUACAGCGUGCGUCUUCGUCGGAUACGCGUGGACCGAAGGCGUUCCGCAACAAAGUGUUUGCGGAUGCAAACGAAUGCGGAUACGUGAGGACGGGGGCCUUACUUAUCUUUGUUCUACUGUAUUCUGUGUUUCUGUGUACUAGAACAAUAGUGACCAGGCAUGUGAGUUAUCUAAAGUUGGAAAGUGGCUUUAAACAAAUGUUAGCCAAAUUAAUCUACAGUGUGUCUAAAAAAAAAGUGAACCCUUAAUUCAAAUUAGCUAUAACGUAUUGUAUUAAUUUGACAGCUCUAAUAGACCUUUCCCCUUUUAAGUGAAAUUUUGAUCUAGACAAGUCUGGACAAAAAUUUCAUCACAGCUUGAAAGAGCAUCACACUAUUAGUAAUAUUCCGAAGUUUCGUUGCGAAAUGUUGUAAAAUGAGGAUAAUAUAGCCUUGCGAAGUUUGCCGUUUUUCAUAUCCAACCAUUAAUUUAAAGCAAUUAGAGCUGUCAAAUUACUACAAUACGUUAUACUGUAGCUAAUUUGAAUUCGAAAGGGUUCAGUUUUUUUUAUACACACUGUAUAGCUAUAUCUAAAACACAAAUGGAAAAUUGAACUCAGGUGAAUACUUCGAUAUGCCUAUUUUAAAUCUUCCAGUCUUAACUACAUGUUAAAAUUCGACUGCAAAUUUAUCUUGACGCAAAUGGCGUUAUUUGGAUGCGCACUGCGAACUGGCUUGUUAGGCCCGUUUUAUACGUCGAAUUUUGGUCACGUCGAAUGCAAUUAAGACAAUAGAUAAUGAGAUGAUAAACCUCAUUAAGCUUCAUUAUCUAUUGUUUGAAUUGCAUUCGACGCGACCGAAUUUCGACGUAUAAAACGGGCCUUAGAGGGUUUAAGGUCUACGACGCGACCGGCUCAAUGAUGCGGUCUGAAUUUCAGCCCAAGAAUGAGCGCUGAGCAAUUUAUACACUUUUCUGCGAUCUUUCUAGUGAUGCAGAUUAUCUUUGUGAAAAGUAAAUUUUCCAUUUUCCAUGUCAACAUAUAUACUACUGUAUAUUAUAUAGUCUUGGUGUAAGCGAUCAGAAAAUGCCAGUUGCGAAUAUCCCUGGGACGACAAAUUGUUCCCAGUUUUUGUCUUGCAUAUGACAUAUUUCUUUGUUCGAAAGGCCCUCGUUAAGCCGGCCGCGUCGUAGAUCUUAAUCUCUAUUGUCGUGCAAAGGCUUGAUUGACAACAUUGCUGAUUAAUAACCAACUUUGAUCACAUCAAUCGGUUGUUUCAAAAUUCUUUAAUCGACAAGAUGUUUGAUAACUGAAUAGUUGGGUUUCAUCGAAGUGUUUUCUAUGGGGCUGCACAUGCAGAGGCGUAGCCACAGCUCCGUCCGUAUCCCCCCCCCCACCACGUCUUCAGGAUCAACUUUGUAACAGACAAAUUUCAUGAUGAUCAUAAAACGUGUGUAAAAUACAUGAAAUGACAGUCUAUCAAGAUCUGAUGGUUUGGAAACGAAACGGAAGUCAUUGUAUUAUGUUUUUGUCUGAGUUUAUAUUAAUUUGUGCAAGGUCACGACGAAAGAGCUCAUUGUGUUUUCGUAUAAUGAGGUAAUCGUCCAAUAGGGACUGCUGAGAUGAAUAAUACUUAAUGAAGUUAGGACACAGGAAUUGUGCACGGUGAAAUACAGUCCAACAUCAAACAAAGCUCUUCUGUUUUGUCGUUUUGAAGUUAGCCGGACUUCCAGACCGACAUAUCUUCACAGACUAUGAUGGAAUAUCGUUUCGCAGACCCUAAAACUGGAAAUAUUUUCCCCGGAAGCAUGCCUCUGGAUGGUCGGACAAUUGCCCCCCUCAUUAGUUUGGGCUACGCCUCUGUACACAUGAUGGUCAACUACAAAUGUAUUGGUACUUAGGCAGUUAGGAUGGUUUACACUAUCAAAGUUUCUGUGAUCACAGUAGGAAUUUUGCAUAGAUAAAUUUUGAAGGAUUUGUAAGAAAUGUUUGAGGAAACCGACUCAGUAUUAAACAAUGAGUCAAUCCCUUAAAAAUUUCUUACAAAUCCUUCAAAACUUAGAAUGGACCAUUUGCAUUAUAGACUAAAUUUCGAUCUACACAAAAAUUUCAUCACAGUUCGAAAGAGCAUCACAAAAUUAGUAAUAUUCCAAAGUUUCGUUGCGAAUUCUUGUAAAAUGCGGAUAAUAUAGCCUUGCGAAGUUUGCCGUUUUUCAGUCAUUUUGUAUUACGCACGGGAAAUUGACAGCCCAAUCGGGUGUUGGGGCAUCAAUUUCCCGUUUGUAAUACAAAAUGACUGAAAAUUGCAAAUUUCGCAAGGCUAUAUUAUCCGCAUUUUACAACAUUUCGCAACGAAACUUUGGAAUAUUACUAAUUGAUGCGAGCAAAUGAUGCUGAAUGUUUCACAUCUAUUUGUCACAAAAUACAAGUUGAAUACGUAUAUAGUGACCAAUUUUGUCACUCUCAUAACUGUCUUUCAUUUUAAAGUUGAGCAUCAGUUCAUGUGCUGUACUUGUCACACUUCGUAAAUCCACCAGCACUAUCUCAUUCAUAUUCACCGCUUGCUUGAUAUAUAUACUUUUCUAUUAACAUUGUAAAUUGUUGUACAGCGCAAUAUUUGCACUUGAAGAAAUUAAACUCACUGAAAGAAAAAAGAG
rnacentral:lncRNA from 1 species